rnacentral:lncRNA from 1 species
UCAUUCGAAUAACUUAAACUUUAACAAGUCAUACUACUUGGUAGUAGUAAUAUUUUUGAGUCUACAUUUCAAUUUUGAAGAGAAUCAAAUUGAAAUAUAACACUAAUUUUGAAGGGAUGUUAUAAUCAUAGAAUAAAUCCGGUUUGCAUAUUUAAGCUUAAGCUUAUAUUCGAAGACAGUAUGUUUUUUUUUGAAUAAAUAUAUUCAAAGACAUAAACAAUGUACACACAUAUAGCACUUGCACUUACCUGUACAUUUUUCUUGCAUAAAGCAUUAGCGAUGACAAACGCAACCUUAUUGAACUUGCCUCGAAGAAGCACUUGAUUUGUCCCUUUGGGAAUGUUGUUCAACACAGUUGCAGCAGCUAGGCUACUUCCAUCUACAACUUUUAUCUUCAAUUGUGGUAACCUUCCAAUAUAAUGUUCAUGGCGUUCAUUAAGCUGAUGAUUCUGCAUCCAUCAAAGGUUAUUCAAAUAAAAAAUCAUUAUUCUACUUCGAAUUUGCUAGAGCUAUAUAUAAAAGUUAUUUUUGAUUUUUAGUAAACAUUAAUAUACACUCACCUAUUGAAAACUAUAUAAAUGAACUCUUAUAUUUAAUACUGAAAUAUCUAGUUUGAGAUC